rnacentral:ncRNA from 1 species
UAUCUGGUUGAUCCUGCCAGUAGUCAUAUGCUUGUCUCAAAGAUUAAGCCAUGCAUGUCUAAGUACAAACCUUAAUACGGUGAAACCGCGAAUGGCUCAUUAAAUCAGCUAUGGUUCCUUAGAUCGUCUCAUCCUACUCGGAUAACUGUGGAAAAUCUAGAGCUAAUACGUGCUUACAAGCCCUGACCUCACGGGAGGGGCGCAUUUAUUAGAUCAAAACCAAUCGGGGCUUGCCCCGUCUGCUUGGUGACUCUGGAUAACUUUUGUGCUGAUCGCAUGGCCUCUGCGCUGGCGACGUAUCUUUCAAGUGUCUGCCCUAUCAACUUACGAUGGUAGGUGAUAUGCCUACCAUGGUUAUAACGGGUAACGGGGAAUCAGGGUUCGAUUCCGGAGAGGGAGCCUGAGAAACGGCUACCACAUCUAAGGAAGGCAGCAGGCGCGCAAAUUACCCACUCCCGGCACGGGGAGGUAGUGACGAAAAAUAACGAUACGGGACUCUUUUGAGGCCCCGUAAUUGGAAUGAGUACACUUUAAAUCCGUUAACAAGUAUCUAUUGGAGGGCAAGUCUGGUGCCAGCAGCCGCGGUAAUUCCAGCUCCAAUAGCGUAUAUUAAUGUUGCUGCAGUUAAAAAGCUCGUAGUUGGAUCUGAGGACUCGAAUUGGUGGUGGCACCAUACGGUGUUACUGCCGAUUCGGCCUACCUAGUCGGUGCUCGCUCUUGGUGUUCUUAAUUGAAUGCCCUGAGUG